rnacentral:sRNA from 1 species
UUCAACUUACACCCAAUGGUAGGUACAUCAACUUACACUCAAUGGUAGGUACAUCAACUUACAGUCAAUGGUAGGUACAUCAACUUAUACCCAAUGGUUGGUACUUCAACUUACAGUCAAUGGUAAGUACUUCAACUUACACCCAAUGGUAGGUACAUCAAUUUACACUCAAUGGUAGGUACAUCAACUUACACCCAAUGGUUGGUACUUCAACUUACACCCAAUGGUAGGUACUUCAACUUACACCCAAUGGUAGGUACUUCAACUUACACCCAAUGGUAGGUACUUCAACUUACACCCAAUGGUAGGUACUUCAACUUACACCCAAUGGUAGGUACUUCAACUUACACCCAAUGGUAGGUACUUGAACCUACACCCAAUGGUAGAUACUUCAACUUACACCCAAUGGUAGGUACAUCAACUUACACCCAAUGGUAGGUACUUCAACUUACACCCAAUGGUAGGUACUUCAACCUACACCCAAUGGUAGGUACUUCAACCUACACCCAAUGGUAGGUACUUCAACUUACACCAAAUGGUAGGUACUUGAACCUACACCCAAUGGUAGAUACUUCAACUUACACCCAAUGGUAGGUACAUCAACUUACACCCAAUGGUAGGUACUUCAACUUACAGUCAAUGGUAGGUACUUCAACUUACACCCAAUGGUAGGUACUUCAACUUACACCCAUUGGUAGGCACCUCAACUUACACCCAAUGGUAGGUACUUCAACUUCUUUGUACUCCGCCACGUUACCAUAGCCCUAUACGUACAACUUUAAAAACUAAGACGCAGAAACGAAUUUCUGAUUUCUAGCCAAUCAAAACAAAUCUAGCUAUGAUUAGCUGAAACAAUCAGAAAUUCAAAACUACAUAUUUAAAUAAAAUGGUUAGGAAGAUCUGUGAUGAUAUAUCUAUGUUGGGCUUGGUAAUUAAAUAUAAAUCAGGUAUGUAAAAUUAUUGCAGAAUUGAACUCGACCAUAAAGAUGUCUAAUUCUUCAGGGUGCCAAGAAAACUUUGAAAAAAAAAGAGAACUCGAUUUUCAAAUAGAGGCUUACAAUAAGUUCAACAUUCAACAAUAGAUUUGCUUGCACGGACAUCCUCAGUGAAAUAUUCUAGGGCGUGGUAGCAAAAUGUGGUUCUCGAUCCGCAUGGGGCUCUUUGACUGCUUGGCUAUGGCUCUUUCACUAAAUGUUUAGUGCAGGCACGAAAUAUUCUUUAUUAGCUUUGCAUUGUCAGAGACCAGUAAAUAUUUAACAAACUCAAACAUACAGAAAAAAGGUACAUUUCUAGAAAGGAACAACAGUGCGACUAGUCGUUGGUCAACAAAUUGACAAACAAAGCUUAUGUACAUUAGGUACACUUUAUAAAGAUUUAUGUACAUUAGGUACACUUUAUAAUGAUUUAUGUACAUUAGGUACACUUUAUAAAAGCUUAUGUGCAUUAGGUACACUUUAUAAAAGCUUAUGUGCAUUAGGUACACUUUAUAAAAGCUUAUGUGCAUUAGGUACACUUUAUAAAAGAAGAAGGGACCAUUUUGUAUGUAUUGCCACUAAUAGGACAAACGUGAUGAGUAGAUAAAACAAUUGAUGUAAUUGAGUGCUUGGAAAAACAUUACAUUCCAUAAGAAAAUAACCAAAAAAUUUGAUUUCAACAGACAAAUGAAAAGUAUGACAUGCAGAAUGUAUUGGUCAAUAUUAAAACAAAAUUAAUCACUAGAUCUAGAUUACUAACCAAUCAUUGCAUUAUUCACUAAUAAAUACCAAAUGUGCAUUUCUUGAAGAAAUUUACAAAGUAAUGGAAUUGGUGGUUAAGAUUACCCACUCCAUUGUUGCUAAAAUUCUUUUCCAUUGCCAAUUUAAGGUAUUUCUAAUUGAGGUAGAGAGUACACUGGUCAUUGCUGUCAGUCUGCCCUCAUAACAAAGUUCGUUGGAUAUCGAGAGGAAACAUUUUCAAUGAAACAUUUUUGAAACGUUUCGCUUCACUGAUAACUGAAAGAAAAGUAUUUCUUUUUGAGAAGAGUACACACUAUGUAGAACUAACGAGUGACCUGUUUGUAUAGGAAUUUAUUUCAUGGCGGAUGCUUCUUCUAAGCUAAAUUAGUUUAAUUGUAAGUUCCAAGGAAAUGGAAACACAUUUUCGAUGUUAGAAGUAUUAAUUUCAUUUGAAAACAAAUUAUCGCUUUAUGCCGAAGUUUCUAAAAGAGAAACUCUGAUUCAUUUUCCAUGCCUAGUGCAAUAUUGUCUAGAAAAUAAUUCUAAGAUUACUAUUUGCUAUUUCAGCA